rnacentral:rRNA from 1 species
AGAGUUUGAUCCUGGCUCAGGAUGAACGCUGGCGGCGUGCCUAAUACAUGCAAGUCGAGCGAACAGACGAGGAGCUUGCUCCUUUGACGUUAGCGGCGGAYGGGUGAGUAACACGUAGGUAACCUACCUAUAAGACUGGGAUAACUUCGGGAAACCGGAGCUAAUACCGGAUAAUAUUUCGAACCGCAUGGUUCGAUAGUAAAAGAUGGCUUUGCUAUCACUUAUAGAUGGACCUGCGCCGUAUUAGCUAGUUGGUAAGGUAACGGCUUACCAAGGCAACGAUACGUAGCCGACCUGAGAGGGUGAUCGGCCACACUGGAACUGAGACACGGUCCAGACUCCUACGGGAGGCAGCAGUAGGGAAUCUUCCGCAAUGGGCGAAAGCCUGACGGAGCAACGCCGCGUGAGUGAUGAAGGUCUUCGGAUCGUAAAACUCUGUUAUUAGGGAAGAACAAACGUGUAAGUAACUGUGCACGUCUUGACGGUACCUAAUCAGAAAGCCACGGCUAACUACGUGCCAGCAGCCGCGGUAAUACGUAGGUGGCAAGCGUUAUCCGGAAUU